UCUGGGCUUAGAUGCUUAUCAGGGGAACCAGCCCCCAAUAUUUCAAGAAUUCCAGAUACUCAAGGUUGGAGAGCUACUAACCCAGUACAUGAAUUCCCAGUGUAUCUUUCAGUGUUCUGAACCUGUAUUUUACAUUUUCAGAAAAGUUGACCACAGAAGCAUGUUUAUAUUGUAUUAAAACAAACUAUUUUUCUGGAAAGUUUUCCCAUUAAGCGUCUAACCUCCAAGCAUCGAAUCCCAGGCCAAUUUGUUUCAAAGUACCAACCUGGAGAAAAUGCCCUGGAUUUGGAAGCAAAGUAUUGAAUGUUGGAAGUCUGAAUAAAGGAAUCAUACACUGUAUGUGCACCUGAAUGUACUUUACAAGCAUCAGUAGAACACUUCUGAUUGAAGCUUGGUCUUAUGAAGAUAAAAAUUUUAUGUGGACCACAGAUUCUCUAAAAAUCAAACUCCAAGUAGGAUCAACACAAAGACACCCACAUUCAGGUACAUCUUGUCAAAUGUGGAAAGGCAAGAAUGAAAUGAAAUGUUGACAGCAAGAGAAAAACAUCCCUUUAUAUACAGAGGAACCCCAGCAACAGUAACAGCUGAAUUCUUGUCAAAAGCAAUGGAGACCAGGGCUGGGAGUGGUGGCUUGCACCUGUAAUCCUAGCACUUCGGGAGGCCAAGGCAGGUGGAUCACCUGAGGUCAGGAAUUCGAGACCAGCCUCUCCAAUGUGGUGAAACCCCAUCUCUACUAAAAAUACAAAAAAUUAGCUGGGUAAGGUGGUGGACACCUAUAGUUCCAGCUACUUAGGAGGCUGAAACACAGGAAUCGCUUGAACCCGGGAGGUGGAGGUUGCAGUGAGCUGAGAUUGUGCCACUGUACUCCAGCCUGGGUAACAGAGGGAGACUCUAUGCCAAACAAACAAACAAACAAACAAACAAACAAUGGAGACCAGAAAGCAAUGAGAUGAAAUGUUCAAAGUGCUGAAAGAAAAAAAAAAAGGUCAACCAAAAGUCUUAUAUCCAGAAUAUUUUUCAAAGUAUAAAAGCAAAAUACAUUCUCAGAUAAUAAAAACAAAACAAACUAAAAGAGUUUGUUGCUAUCAUACCUACCUUACAAGAAAUACUCAGUGAUUUUUUUCAGGCUAAUAGGCUAGGAGCAUUUGGCACCUAACAGUAAUUUGAAUUUAUAUAUAUGUUUGUAUACAUAUAUAUGGAACACUCAUAGAGGUAAUUAUAUGAAUAGUUAUAUAAGACAUUAAAUUGCAUAUUUUUAUUUUCUCUUAAUUCAAAAUAAAUGCAUAAAACAAUAUAUGUAUAAUAGUGUUGAGCCUAUAAUGCAAACAAAACUAAUAUAUUUGACAUUAAGAGCACAAAAGAAAUAAUUGGAGCAAAGUUGUAUUAAAGAAAUGAAAUGACACUAAGAUACAACUUGAAUCAACAGGAAAAAAAUGAAGAGAACCAGAAAUUGUAAAGAAUAAUGUUAACAUAACAAUGCUAAUAGUUACUUUGCUUUCCUUUCUUCUCUCAUGUUCUUUAAAAGACAUAAAAUUACAUAAAAACAAGCAUUAUAACAAUAUAUUUUUGUGUUUGUAACAUGUAGAUGUAAUAUAUAUAUAACAAUUAUUGAAUAAGUAGAAUAAAUAGACCUAUAAAGAAUUAAUGUUACUAUGUCUCAAUGGAUUUAUGUUACUAUAAAUGUUGAGUCUGAUAAGAUGUAUGUUGUAAGGCAUACAGCAAUCGAUAAGAAAGUAAUAUGAAAUAUAUUUUAUAAGUGAGUUUGAUUUAUUUUAAGAAAAUAAAAUACUACGUUAGGAACUAUUUACUUAAUUUAAAAGAAAAUAGUAAAAGAGAAAAAGGAGAAUAAAAAACAUUAGACAGAUACACAAAAAGCAAAAUUACGGACAUAGUGCAACCAUAUCAAUAACAUUAAUGAAUGAAACAUUUCCAUUACAAGGCAGAGAUCAGCAGAGUACAUAAAAACCAAGAUCCAACAAUACAUUGUCUAUAGGAAAAACAAUCAAAUAUAUAAAUAGAUUGAAAGUUAAAAGAUGGAAAAACACUAUCACGUAAACAACAACUAUAAAAAAAUUAAAGUAGUUAUCAUAAUAUCAGACAAAAUAGACAUUGAAAUAAAAUACCACUUCACAAUCAAUGGAAUGGCUAUAAUCAGAUAGACAGAUAGUGUUUGUGAGGAUAUGAAGAAAUUAUAAUCAUUAUGCUUACUAGUAGGGAUUUAAAAUGGUGCCAUUACUUUGGAAAACAUUUUGUCAGUUCUUCAAAAAAUUAAAAAUAGAGUUAUCAUAUGAACCAGAAUUUCCACUCUUAACAAAAAAUUUUACAUAAAAUUUAUGACAGCAUUAUUUGUAAUAGGAAAAAUGAAAACAGUUCAAAUGUCCAUCUACUGAUUAAUGGAUAAAAUGUGGUUUAUCCAUACAGUAGAAUAUUAUUUAACAAUAAAAUGAAUAAAGUACUAACAUGCUGCUACAUGUUAUAAAAGAAAAAAAUCCUUGAGAACAUUACGGUAAAUAAAAAGAUCCAGUUAUAAAAGAUUACAUAUUUUAUUAUUCUGUUUAUUUAAAAUACCCACAAUAAGCAAAUCUAGAAAUAGAAUGUAGAUUUGUGAUUGCCUGGAGCCACCACUAAUGGGGACGUGUGUGAGGAUGAGGAUUGACAGCUAAUGAGCAUAGGGUUAUUUUUAUAGUGGCAAAGAUGUUCUAAAAUUAAUUGUGGUGAUGGUUUUAAAAUUCUGAGUAUACUAAAAACCGUUGAAUUAUAUACUAAAAAUGAGUGAAUUGUUUGUGAAUGUUUCAGUAAAACUUAAAAAAUAUGAUUGUCAGAUAAAAUGUAGUGUGCUCAGUUAAAUAUGAUUUUGAGAUACACAGUGAAUAACUAGGAUAAAUAUAUCCCAAAUAUUGCAUAUUAUAAAACUAUAUUACAUUUAUAAAUAAAAUAUUUUAUAAAUAAACACGCUUUUAUAAAUAAUUACCCAUUGAUUAUCUCAAAUUCAGAUUGAACUGGGUGUCUUAUAUUUUUAUUUGAUAAAUCUGGCAACCCUACAUCAAGACAAAAUAGCCUGCGCCCAGGCAGCAAUUUAUCUGAUUUUUCUUUAAAUAACUGCCCAAAGCACUCCAAGAGAGCUAGCUUCACAUCUAGUUGCUUAUACAGUAUAUACAGAACAUAAGUAUUUCGACCUUGCAAAACUUAGCACAUUUUAUGCAUCAUAUCUUACUACUAUUGUAUUAGUAAUAUCUGUUUAAUAUACCUAAGUCUGUUUAGCCCUUGCCAAGUAUACAAUUUUAAUAAAAAGACAAAACUUGUCAUCUCUUUCUUGUUUAUAUCUUGGGCAUACUGCUGAAGAAGUGUGUGAUGGUUAAUACCAAGUGUCAACUUGGUUGGAUUCAAGGAUGCGAAAUAUUGAUUCUGGGUAUGUCUGUGAGCAUGUUGCCAAAGGAGAUUAACAUUUGAGUCAUUGGGUUGGGAAAGGCAGACCCACCCUUAAUCUGGGUGGGCACCAUCUAAUCAGCUGCCAGUGCAGGUAGAAUAUAAAGCAGGCAGAAAAACAUGAAAAGGCUAAACUGUUGGGAGAAAUAGGAAUGCUUUUACACUGUUGGCGGGAGUGUAAAUUAGUUCAAUCAUUGUGAAAGACAGUGUGGUGAUUCCUCAAGGAUCUAGAACCAGAAAUACCAUUUGACCCAGCAAUCCCAUUACUGGGUAGAUACCCAAAGGACUAUAAAUCAUUCUACUAUAAAGACACAUGUACAUGUAUGUUUAUUGCAGCACUAUUUACAAUAGCAAAGACUAAGAAUCAACCCAAAUGCCCAUCAAUGAUAGACUAAAGAAAAUGUGGCAUGUAUACACCAUGGAAUACUAUGCAUGAAAAGGCAUGAAUUCAUGUUCUUUGCAGGGACAUGGGUGAAGCUGGAAACCAUCAUCCUCAACAAACUAACACAGGAACAGAAAAGCAAACACCGCAUGUUCUCACUCAUAAGUGGGAGUUGAACAAUGAGAACACAUGGACACAGGGAAGUGAACACCACACACUGGGGCCUGUCGGGGGUUGAGGGGCAAGUGGAAGGAGAGCAUUAGGACAAAUACCUAAUGCAUGUGGGGCUUAAAACCUAUAUGGGUUGAUAGGCACAGCAAACCACAAUGGCACAUGUAUACCUAUGUAAUAAAGCUGCAUGUUCAGCACAUGUAUCCCAGAACUUACAGUAAAAUAGAAAUAAAUAAAUAAAUAAAUAAAUAAAUAAAUGCUAGACUGGCUUAGCAUCCAGCCUACAUCUUUCUCCUGUGCUAGAUGCUUCCUGUCCUCAAACAUCGGACUCCAAAUUCUUCAGCUUUGGGACGGACUGGCUUCCUUGCUCCUCAGCUUGCAGACAGCCGACUGUGGGACCUUGUGAUCAUAAUACCACAGUCUGGAGGCUAUGAAGUCCAUGAUUAAGAAGCCAGCACGUUUGCUUUCUGGUUCCAAGAUGGCAUACCUUUUUGCUGCUUCCUCCAGAGAGGAGGAACACUGUGUUCUCACAUAGUAGAAGAUGGAAGGAGCAGAUGCAGAUGAGCAUGGCAAUGUGAGAAUAUGUCAGAGGCCCCAGGAUGAAAUGAGCUCAAGUCCCUGAAAUCCCUGUUAGAAGAGUCUUUCCACUGGUUGGGAAUGCUAAUUGUAUUUUGACAACUCAAUGUUUCAGCAACUCAAAAUGUUACAGCUUCUGCAUUGGAAUAAAAAAAG
rnacentral:lncRNA from 1 species